rnacentral:lncRNA from 1 species
UGUUCGAUUCUUAAAGCUUCCAUCAAUGGCGAUGAAUCCCAUCUCCCCUCUGGCUUGUUUUUCGUUUCUUACCUCAAUCAACCAGAUCUUGUGAGAUGGAUAGAAUGUUCAAAAAUCUAGGGUUCAAUGUCAGAACUGCAAGGUGAAAAUGAAGAUUACAGUUGAUUUGAGAUCCUCCCACGAAGAUUCACAAAUAGAUUUGAUUACAAGACCCUAAAAUCGUUCAAGAGUAGACUUUGAUCCAUUCAAGUGAUAAAACUGCUACUCGAUUUGCCAUGUAGACCAGACACCAAACUACCAGGGUUGGUGACGAUGGGCUUUAAGGAUGAAAAAUGUUGAGGUAAUCACAUGGUAAAACCGAUGGCGCACUACUCUUGGAGUGUACAUAUUUCAGUACUAAAAUCACAAGUUUACACAUUCUUAGAGUGGUUUAAUCCAUGUCUUUGACCCGUAUUAUUAUCGUUUGAAGCAAAGUUGGGUAAUCGGAGAUGAUACCAUAAAUGAA